rnacentral:rRNA from 1 species
AUUGAACGCUGGCGGCAGGCCUAACACAUGCAAGUCGAACGGUAGCACAGAGAGCUUGCUCUCGGGUGACGAGUGGCGGACGGGUGAGUAAUGUCUGGGAAACUGCCUGAUGGAGGGGGAUAACUACUGGAAACGGUAGCUAAUACCGCAUAACGUCGCAAGACCAAAGAGGGGGACCUUCGGGCCUCUUGCCAUCAGAUGUGCCCAGAUGGGAUUAGCUAGUAGGUGGGGUAAUGGCUCACCUAGGCGACGAUCCCUAGCUGGUCUGAGAGGAUGACCAGCCACACUGGAACUGAGACACGGUCCAGACUCCUACGGGAGGCAGCAGUGGGGAAUAUUGCACAAUGGGGCGCAAGCCUGAUGCAGCCAUGCCGCGUGUAUGAAGAAGGCCUUCGGGUUGUAAAGUACUUUCAGCGGGGAGGAAGGUGUUGUGGUUAAUAACCGCAGCAAUGACGUUACCGCAGAAGAAGCACCGGCUAACUCCG